rnacentral:rRNA from 1 species
UACGAAGGGGGCUAGCGUUGCUCGGAAUCACUGGGCGUAAAGGGUGCGUAGGCGGGUCUUUAAGUCAGGGGUGAAAUCCUGGAGCUCAACUCCAGAACUGCCUUUGAUACUGAGGAUCUUGAGUUCGGGAGAGGUGAGUGGAACUGCGAGUGUAGAGGUGAAAUUCGUAGAUAUUCGCAAGAACACCAGUGGCGAAGGCGACUUACUGGACACAUAUUGACGCUGAGGUGCGAAAGCGUGGGGAGCGAACGAGG